AAAGACUUCACAGAGGAAGUGGCACUUGAGUUGAGAAGUAGGAGGUCCUGAGAAGAUGGGAGAAAAGAUUAAGUUGGCUGGAACAUAAGGAUUUGCUUUCAGAGACCCAGACUGUGACAGGGUUCAUGGAACUGCUGGAUGAGUUCAUAUGACUGCAGCACACAGGAGCCUCGGUGCUAACAUGGUCAAUCUGCACAAUCUCCAAGGAGGUGAUUUGGACCCCUACCUGACUCCACAGCAGACUCUAUUCGACCACUUGCUCUGGAAUGCAGAGUUGGAGUUACCUGUCUCUGUUCCCCAUUGGACUGGGUACUCUUCAAAUGUAUUAACCACAAGUUUGGCUUUGAAGAGUAAAUGAAUGAACGACAGUCCUACAGAGGAAAACCAGGAGAGCAAAAUGUUGUGGAUUCCAGGUGAAAAAAACUGUAAAAAGGAAGAAGUGAACAACUCUGUCAAAUACUGAUAAUCCAGGAAGAUGAGGCCUGAGAUUUGAUCACUGGAUUUAGCAAAGUCCCCCCGGUACAUAGUUGUAUAUUCUUCAUUGUGGGUCCAUCUAGUUGUGGCAUGUGGGACGCCGCCUCAGCGUGGUUUGAUGAGGAGUGCCAUGUCAGCGCCCAGGAUUCGAACCAACGAAACACUGGGCCGCCUGCAGCGGAGCACACGAACUUAACCACUCGGCCACGGGGCCAGCCCAAAUUUUUAUUUCUGUUAAUUUGUAAUAGGCUUAUUCUUUUAUUUUAUUUAAAAAUCCACCCAUUUAUUAAACAAACUUACUGAGUGUUUACUAUGUAAUAAACACUGAAGAUUCUGAGAUAAUUUGUACAGCUCACUGCAUUAUGGAGAAAGCAG
rnacentral:lncRNA from 1 species